UUGAUGUUCUAACGUGGACCCGUAAUCCGGGUUGCGGACAGUGUCUGGUGGGUAGUUUGACUGGGGCGGUCUCCUCCUAAAGAGUAACGGAGGAGCACGAAGGUUGGCUAAUCCUGGUCGGACAUCAGGAGGUUAGUGCAAUGGCAUAAGCCAGCUUGACUGCGAGCGUGACGGCGCGAGCAGGUGCGAAAGCAGGUCAUAGUGAUCCGGUGGUUCUGAAUGGAAGGGCCAUCGCUCAACGGAUAAAAGGUACUCCGGGGAUAACAGGCUGAUACCGCCCAAGAGUUCAUAUCGACGGCGGUGUUUGGCACCUCGAUGUCGGCUCAUCACAUCCUGGGGCUGAAGUAGGUCCCAAGGGUAUGGCUGUUCGCCAUUUAAAGUGGUACGCGAGCUGGGUUUAGAACGUCGUGAGACAGUUCGGUCCCUAUCUGCCGUGGGCGCUGGAGAACUGAGGGGGGCUGCUCCUAGUACGAGAGGACCGGAGUGGACGCAUCACUGGUGUUCGGGUUGUCAUGCCAAUGGCACUGCCCGGUAGCUAAAUGCGGAAGAGAUAAGUGCUGAAAGC
rnacentral:rRNA from 1 species